rnacentral:rRNA from 1 species
UACGGGGGGGGGCAAGCGUUGUUCGGAAUUACUGGGCGUAAAGGGCUCGUAGGCGGCCAACUAAGUCAGACGUGAAAUCCCUCGGCUUAACCGGGGAACUGCGUCUGAUACUGGAUGGCUUGAGUUUGGGAGAGGGAUGCGGAAUUCCAGGUGUAGCGGUGAAAUGCGUAGAUAUCUGGAGGAACACCGGUGGCGAAGGCGGCAUCCUGGACCAACACUGACGCUGAGGAGCGAAAGCCAGGGGAGCAAACGGGG